GAUGGGCAUAGGUUGUUUUUCUGGGUCUGGUAGAAUAUUCACAAAGGAUGAGUCUUGGGAUGGAGUAAAUGUGACGUACAUUACGAGGCCCCUUUGGGUAGGAAUUGGACUCUGGGGUUCCCAACAAUAGGAUGCGGAGGAUCACCCCCAUGUAGGCUACGGCCAUCAGGGAGGAGCUGAUACCCAUAGCAACUGACGGCGCUGAAGGAGCUAGGGGCCGGUGGCGCUUCGUUGGG